rnacentral:rRNA from 1 species
GGUGGCCUACGGGACGCAGCAGUGGGGAAUAUUGCACAAUGGGGGAAACCCUGAUGCAGCGACGCCGCGUGAGUGAAGAAGUAAUUCGUUAUGUAAAGCUCUAUCAGCAGGGAAGAAAAUGACGGUACCUGAGUAAGAAGCCCCGGCUAACUACGUGCCAGCAGCCGCGGUAAUACGUAGGGGGCAAGCGUUAUCCGGAUUUACUGGGUGUAAAGGGAGCGUAGACGGCAGUGCAAGUCUGGUGUGAAAGGCGGGGGCACAACCCCCGGACUGCUCUGGAAACUGU